CUGUUUGAUCCUGGCUCAGGACGAACGCUGGCGGCGUGCUUAACACAUGCAAGUCGAACGGAAAGGCCCUGCUUUUGUGGGGUGCUCGAGUGGCGAACGGGUGAGUAACACGUGAGUAACCUGCCCUUGACUUUGGGAUAACUUCAGGAAACUGGGGCUAAUACCGGAUAGGAGCUCCUGCUGCAUGGUGGGGGUUGGAAAGUUUCGGCGGUUGGGGAUGGACUCGCGGCUUAUCAGCUUGUUGGUGGGGUAGUGGCUUACCAAGGCUUUGACGGGUAGCCGGCCUGAGAGGGUGACCGGCCACAUUGGGACUGAGAUACGGCCCAGACUCCUACGGGAGGCAGCAGUGGGAAUAUUGCACAAUGGGCGGAAGCCUGAUGCAGCAACGCCGCGUGCGGGAUGACGGCCUUCGGGUUGUAAACCGCUUUCGCCUGUGACGAAGCGUGAGUGACGGUAAUGGGUAAAGAAGCACCGGCUAACUACGUGCCAGCAGCCGCGGUGAUACGUAGGGUGCGAGCGUUGUCCGGAUUUAUUGGGCGUAAAGGGCUCGUAGGUGGUUGAUCGCGUCGGAAGUGUAAUCUUGGGGCUUAACCCUGAGCGUGCUUUCGAUACGGGUUGACUUGAGGAAGGUAGGGGAGAAUGGAAUUCCUGGUGGAGCGGUGGAAUGCGCAGAUAUCAGGAGGAACACCAGUGGCGAAGGCGGUUCUCUGGGCCUUUCCUGACGCUGAGGAGCGAAAGCGUGGGGAGCGAACAGGCUUAGAUACCCUGGUAGUCCACGCUGUAAACGGUGGGUACUAGGUGUGGGGUCCAUUCCACGGGUUCCGCGCCGUAGCUAACGCUUUAAGUACCCCGCCUGGGGAGUACGGCCGCAAGGCUAAAACUCAAAGGAAUUGACGGGGCCCCGCACAAGCGGCGGAGCAUGCGGAUUAAUUCGAUGCAACGCGUAGAACCUUACCUGGGUUUGACAUGGAUCGGGAGUGCUCAGAGAUGGGUGUGCCUCUUUUGGGGUCGGUUCACAGGUGGUGCAUGGCUGUCGUCAGCUCGUGUCGUGAGAUGUUGGGUUAAGUC
rnacentral:rRNA from 1 species